GUGCUCACUUCAGCAGUACCUACGCUAAAAUUGGAAUGAUACAGAGAAGAUUAGCAUGGUCCCUGCGCAAGUAUGAUAUGCAAAUUCGUGAAGCAUUCCAUAUUUUU